UUUAGUUAACAUAAUGUUACAAUAAAGAAAUUUAAGGAUAUGUUACAAACUUCAAUGUCACUACAUUUACAAUCCAUAUGUGAUAAACAAUAGUGACCCGUAGCUCGUACAUGUACAAUAUCCAUGUUAGAAGGUCCAGCACACUUUCCUGCUUCAUUCUUACUAAACUUAAGAGAAUAGACAUACAAUGUGUUAUCCUUGCAAUAUGAGAGGCAAAGUACAGACCCACAACAGUAUUUCAAAUAGGCAUAAGAGAGAAUAUAUUGCAUUACUUCUAUAAGGCUGCUCCCAGUGCUAAGCCUGACAUGUAAGUAGAAAAUUGAUGUGACAUCUUAAUCAAGGAGUAGAGAGAAUCGUUUGGUAACCCCAUGGAGAAACUAUACCAGCGCAGGUACCUAGGAGAAAACAGAGUUAAUACGAUCCCGUGCGCUGAACCGAAUGGUCGCCCCAACUCCCCCAUGCACAGCCCCAUCCGCCGCUUCUUCCUCGCCCCGC
rnacentral:lncRNA from 1 species